rnacentral:ncRNA from 1 species
GAAAGCCGUAUGCGGGAAAACUGCACGUAUGGUUUAAUGAGGGGGCGAUGGUAACCCUACAGAUCUACUCUAGC